GAUGAAGAACGUAGCGAAAUGCGAUAAGUAGUGUGAAUUGCAGACUUUAGUGAAUCAUCGAAUCUUUGAACGCACAUUGCGCCCCUUGGUAUUCCAUUGGGCAUGCCUGUUCGAGCGUCAUUUAACCCCUCAAGCUCACGCUUGGUGUUGGGCGUCUGUCCGCGCUUUCGGGCGUGGACUCGCCCCAAAUCCAUUGGCAGCGGCUCCGCCGGCUUCUCGCGCAGGACUUUGCGCUCCGGGAAGGCCUUCGGCGGGCUCGCGUCCAUCAAGACACCCCUCAUUUUGACCUCGAAUCAGGUAGGGAUACCCGCUGAACUUAAGCAUAUCAAUAAGCGGAGGAA
rnacentral:misc_RNA from 1 species